rnacentral:tRNA from 1 species
UCCUGGUUAGCUCAGCAGGUAGAGCGCUCCAAUGCAAAUAGAGAGGUGCCUGGUUCGGUUCCAGGACCAGGCA